GAGCACGUAGGUGGGUUUGUAAGUCAGAUGUGAAAGCCUUCUGUUCAACGGGAGAAUUGCAUCUGAAACUGCUAACCUUGAGUAUAGGAGGGGAGAAUGGAACUUCUGGUGGAGCGGUGAAAUGCGUAGAUAUCAGAAGGAACGCCGGCGGCGAAAGCGGUUCUCUGGCCUAUUACUGACACUCAGUGUGCGAAAGCUAGGGGAGCAAACGGGAUUAGAUACCCCGGUAGUCCUAGUUGUAAACGAUGGGCACUAAGUAGAGGGGUUUUAA
rnacentral:rRNA from 1 species